rnacentral:rRNA from 1 species
GUGCCAGCAGCCGCGGUAAGACAGAGGGUGCUAGCGUUGUUCGGAAUUACUGGGCGUAAAGGGCGCGUAGGCGGUCUGCUAAGUUCGGUGUGAAAUCCCCUGGCUCAACUGGGGAACUGCGCUGGAAACUGGCAGACUCGAGUACCGGAGAGGAGAGUGGAAUUCCUGGUGUAGCGGUGAAAUGCGUAGAUAUCAGGAGGAACACCGGUGGCGAAGGCGGCUCUCUGGACGGAUACUGACGCUGAGGCGCGAAAGCGUGGGGAUCAAACAGGAUUAGAAACCCCUGUAGUCC